UUCAAAAUUUCACUCCACAGCCCAGCAUCAAUGCACAGAUUUCCAGACUCUGCUCUCCCAUGAAGUAGCAGUGUAACUACAUGCAGGGUGAAUAGCCGGCUGACCACAUCCUCGGAAGGGAAUUAUAUUGAGCCUCCUUUCACUCCCUCGCCUUUCCACGCUGGGGAUGGUAAAUUUCAGCAAGAAGGCUUUGCAAUGCAACAACAUUAUGGCACAAAAACAUUGCAUCACACUUGGUGAUACACUAUGAUGCAGCGACAUGACAUCACCUUACAUUGAUGCAAUGGUGUGAGCUCAGGUUCGCCUUGGCAUCUGCUUCCUGAGUCAGGUUCAACGACACAAGUUUGUCUACUUACCGUACUGGAUUUGAGCUCAUCCCCAUUUUCCUCUUCGGAUUCUAGUGCAACAGCUGUUGGGUCUCAAGUAGUCUCCGCCUCGUCCCUCCAGCAACAUCUGGAUGUCCCCACCCCUCUCUUCGUCCACCGAGACUUGUCUGGAGAAAUGGGCGCUCUUGGUCCUGCAGACCUAUUUGCACUCUGCACAGUGGGCUUCUCAGAGAAACCAACACCAUCACACAGGACCGCAAGAGGGAAAAUGUGACUUUGCCAUGCUUGGGCUAUGCUGCACACGAGAGAGACUCUGGCUCAAGAAGGCAGGUCGGGAAAGAAGUUAUAGUCAGGAAAUAGCGGAAGUCUGUUUGCUGUUUCUGAAGCAGUAUGGAACCAGACUCAAGCCAUCCCCCAGAUCCAAGUUGUCUCCCUGAAAGAUGUCUCCAAGCAGAGGUCACUUCCAGAGCAGAAUCUUUAGCCAGGUUCUUGGGAAUAUUAACCUGAGCCUGGAUAUGUGAUGUAGUAUGGUAACAUUUUAUUGUA